ACGAACGCUGGCGGCGUGCCUAAUACAUGCAAGUCGAACGCUUCUUUCCUCCCGAGUGCUUGCACUCAAUUGGAAAGAGGAGUGGCGGACGGGUGAGUAACACGUGGGUAACCUACCCAUCAGAGGGGGAUAACACUUGGAAACAGGUGCUAAUACCGCAUAACAGUUUAUGCCGCAUGGCAUAAGAGUGAAAGGCGCUUUCGGGUGUCGCUGAUGGAUGGACCCGCGGUGCAUUAGCUAGUUGGUGAGGUAACGGCUCACCAAGGCCACGAUGCAUAGCCGACCUGAGAGGGUGAUCGGCUACACUGGGACUGAGACACGGCCCAGACUCCUACGGGAGGCAGCAGUAGGGAAUCUUCGGCAAUGGACGAAAGUCUGACCGAGCAACGCCGCGUGAGUGAAGAAGGUUUUCGGAUCGUAAAACUCUGUUGUUAGAGAAGAACAAGGACGUUAGUAACUGAACGUCCCCUGACGGUAUCUAACCAGAAAGCCACGGCUAACUACGUG
rnacentral:rRNA from 1 species